ensembl:lncRNA
CAAUAUAGCCUGUUCUUGGCCUCACAUCCAUGGUUCCAAUGGUUUAGAGAUUUCUCUAACCUGACUUUACAAGGGUCAUUUGAAACUGAUACCUACGCAAUGGCCCGAGAGUGUCAUGGACUUUGCUAUAUACUUAACAAGUCAGUCUACGCCUCACAGUGCUCAGGAAUCACCACGAGGUGCUAUUAUCAACAACCAAGGUCCUCACUAGGGGAAUUGUCAAGAUUCCCUUUGUGAGAGUUGCUUUUCUUUCAGAAUAAAAGAGCUACUCCUGUACAAUGGCCUUUUAACAUGCACAGUCCGUCUGGGUCAACCCAGGUGUAUUAGAGCUCUCCAGAGAAACGGGACCAAUGGAAUAUACGCACAUAUAUGUAUGUGUAUGUGUAUAUAGGUAUAUAACCCAUUGGUUCUGUUUCUCUGGAGAACCCUAACACACACACACACACGUGCACACACACAUACUAAGGCAUUUGUUAUAAACAAAAUAAAAUUAUAUUGCUGUAAAUUAUCCCACGAUCCUUCCAAAAAAGAAACACAUGUUGGUGCCAUUUCAUUUAAGGACAAAGAUGCUUUAUAAAGGCAAUAAAACUAAUUCGGCAUUUCUCAAAGCAUGUUGCGUAAUCAGAGCCGUACCUCGAAAAAAGAGAAAGUUGGUGAUUAAAUUGUUUUGGAGCCUGCUAGAAAGAAAGAAUUGAGGAGGAUCCUCAAACUCCUCCAGGCGUUGGGUGUAGACUCUUCUCGGUAUAUUCUCAGAAUAUUUGUCAGAGGUCAGUUGAGGAGAGUGGGUCCCAUUGUGCAGCGUCGAGAAGAAAGUGAACAGGCACAGAGAUGGAGCGUCCACGUCAUGUAGCUCGUAAGUCCAGAGGGGGUUGGAGCAUCUCGGUCUGCGUCCUGCGUCCUGCUCGGCAGGCUGGGGACCAGCUUGACUCCUGUCUGCAGAAGGCUAGCAUCAGUAACCAUACUUCCGUCUAUAACUUUAAAAAUAUCACUUAGACAUGUUUUUCCCUAUAUUGACAAACUCUGGCUUGAUUUCUUAUUAGAGUAAGUGUUUCCUGCUUCCCCUCCCCCCACCAACCAUCACCUCAGGAGAAAGAUCCUCAUCUCUGCCACACGGCCAGGAAAAUACCCAUUGACAAAACACAGAACUCUCCUCUCCUUCACAUUUACACCUCGAUGACUGCCAAAUCUGCCUUCUCGAGGAAGCAUGCCCGCUCUCAGAUCCACAAGGAAAACUCUGCCUUAUUUCUAACGCUCGUCAAAGUGGGAGGGCAGACACGUCCCAGCCAGGCGGUGUAACUGUCACUUCCUUCUAUCUUUGUAUUCAGGUACUAACAGGCCUCCCACUAUCAUUUGUUUUAAAUGUGAGCAACUCUAUUCUGAAUGAACAUACAAACAAGGCUGAGGAUCGUCCAGAAACAGGAAGUAAUCAGCAACGCCAAGCAUUUUUAAAACAGGUGCUGGAGAGGCACAUGUCCCCUUGUCCCACAGCCGUAGGUUUGACUUGAGAUGAAUGGCCGGCUGCCGUGUUUGCGCUGAAAGCUCAGCGACGUCACCCGGUGUUUGCACUUGCUGGUGCCACGGGCUGGGGAAAUUAAAAGGCCAUAAUACCAGGUCUCUGUUUUCUCAAAAAGCCAUUCUGGAAAGAGUUUUAUGCCUUAACAGCACCAGCUCCUCAGCCUCCCACGUGGGAGCCACAUGGCUCACUUUUAUUUGUACUUUUCUUAAGAAUUACAUUAAUUUGGGAUCACUGAAAAUGUCUGGUGAACUAGAUGGAGUAGAUGCCUGGUUUUGCUUUGUUUUCUGCAAGGACAGAAGAUUCCUUUCCCCGUCUGCCCCAGCUUCCCUUUGGCUGGUUUCAUGGGCCUUUUA